UGGGGAAUAUUGCACAAUGGGCGCAAGCCUGAUGCAGCAACGCCGCGUGCGGGAUGACGGCCUUCGGGUUGUAAACCGCUUUUAGUAAGGAAGAAGGGAAGCUUGCUUCUUGACGGUACUUGCAGAAAAAGGACCGGCUAACUACGUGCCAGCAGCCGCGGGUAAUACGUAGGGUCCGAGCGUUGUCCGGAAUUAUUGGGCGUAAAAGAGCUCGUAGGCGGUUUGUCGCGUCUGCUGUGAAAUCCCGAGGCUCAACCUCGGGUCUGCAGUGGGUACGGGCAGACUGGAGUGCGGUAGGGGAGAAUGGGAAUUCCUGGUGUAGCGGUGGAAUGCGCAGAUAUCAGGAGGAACACCGAUGGGCGAAAGGCAGUUCUCUGGGCCGUAACUGACGCUGAGGAGCGAAAGCGUGGUGAGCGAACAGGAUUAGAUACCCUGGUAGUCCACGCCGUAAACGUUGGGCGCUAGAUGUGGGGACCUUUCCACGGUUUCCGUGUCGUAGCUAACGCAUUAAC
rnacentral:rRNA from 1 species